rnacentral:rRNA from 1 species
AACGUAGGACGCAAGCGUUAUCCGGAUUUAUUGGGCGUAAAGAGCUCGUAGGCGGUUCGGUAAGUCGGGUGUGAAAACUCUGGGCUCAACCCAGAGAGGCCACCCGAUACUGCUGUGACUAGAGUGCGGUAGGGGAGCGGGGAAUUCCUGGUGUAGCGGUGAAAUGCGCAGAUAUCAGGAGGAACACCAGCGGCGAAGGCGCCGCUCUGGGCCGUAACUGACGCUGAGGAGCGAAAGCAUGGGUAGCAAACAGG